AUUGAACGCUGGCGGCAGGCCUAACACAUGCAGGUCGAACGGUAGCACAGAGAGCUUGCUCUCGGGUGACGAGUGGCGGACGGGUGAGUAAUGUCUGGGAAACUGCCCGAUGGAGGGGGAUAACUACUGGAAACGGUAGCUAAUACCGCAUAACGUCGCUAGACCAAAGUGGGGGACCUUCGGGCCUCACACCAUCGGAUGUGCCCAGAUGGGCUUAGCCAGUAGGUGGGGUAAUGGCUCACCUAGGCGACGAUCCCUAGCUGGUCUGAGAGGAUGCACAGCGACACGGGAUCUGAGACCAGGUCAGUACGUCUACGUGAGGCAGCAGUGGGGAAGAUUGCACUAUGUGCGCAAGCGUGAUGCAGCCGUGCCGCGUGUAGGAAGAAGGCCUUCGGGUUGUAAAGUACUUUCAGCGGGGAGGAAGGCGGUUGAGUUAAUAACUUCACCGAUUGACGUUACCCGCAGAAGAAGCACCGGCUAACUCCGUGCCAGCCGCCGCCGUAA
rnacentral:rRNA from 1 species